UCAGUUUCAAAGGCAUUGUCGAUACAGGCCCAUCCUGAUAAGGAAUUUGCUGGGUUUUUGCAUAAGACUCUGCCUGAUGUCUUCAAGGAUGAUAAUUAUAAGCCUGAAGUGGCUUUGGCACUAACAGAAUUCGAGGCCCUUUGUGGGUUUAUUAGUCUCAAGGCUGAUCAAGCUGGAACAGUAGUUGAGGUGCUUGCAAAGGAUGGGAAACCAGUUAGUGUGGACACGCCUCUAUUUACCAUUGAGCCAUGAAGAAUUAAGCCUCUAUUUACCAUUAACAAAUUGCGAAUAAUAACAAAACAUUUCUACUGGUGCACGGACAUUGGUGUUACAGAAGGA